rnacentral:misc_RNA from 1 species
AGUUCGAUCCUGGCUCAGAUUGAACGCUGGCGGAUGCUUUACACAUGCAAGUCGAACGGCAGCACGGACUUCGGUCUGGUGGCGAGUGGCGAACGGGUGAGUAAUGUAUCGGAACGUGCCUAGUAGCGAUAACUACGCGAAAGCGUAGCUAAUACCGCAUACGCCCUUCGGGGGAAAGCGGGGGACCUUCGGGGCCUCGCACUAUUAGAGCGGCCGAUAUCGGAUUAGCUAGUUGGUGGGGUAACGGCCUCACUGGGCGACGAUCCGCAGCUGGUUUGAGAGGACGACCAGCCACACUGGGACUGAGACACGGGCCCAGACUCCUACGGAGGCAGCAGUGGGGAAUUUUGGACAAUGGGGAAACCCUGAUCCAGCCAUCCCGCGUGCGAUGAAGGCCUUCGGGUUGUAAAGCACUUUUGGCAGGAAGAACGGCACGGAUAAUACCCCGCAACUGACGGUACCUGCAGAAUAAGCACCGGUUAACUACGUGUCAGCAGCCGCGCAAUACGUAGGGUGCAAGCGUUAAUCUGAAUCACGCUGGGCGAAGCGUGCGCAGGCGGUUCGGAAAGAAAGAUGUGAAAUCCCAGAGCUUAACUUUGGAACUGCAUUUUUAACUACCGAGCUAGAGUGUGUCGAGGGAGGUGGAAUUCGCGUAGCAGUGAAAUGCGUAGAUAUGCGGAGGAACACCGAUGGCGAAGGCAGCUUCCUGGGAUAACACUGACGCUCAUGCACGAAAGCGUG